rnacentral:rRNA from 1 species
AUAAACCCCAACAGCUAGCCCACCCAAAUAAAGCAACAAACCCCAUUAAUACCCCCACACGCAACACGCCCGAUCAAACAAACCAUUUUCCCCCCUGAGUAUGGGAGACAGAAAAGGGACUAGGCGCUAUAGAACAAGUACCGCAAGGGAAAGCUGAAAGAGAACUGAAACAACCCAGUAAAGGUCAAAAAAGCAGAGACACAUCCUCGUACCUUUUGCAUCAUGACUUAGCAAGCACCACCAAGCGAAGAGACCUAUACGUUUGGGCCCCCGAAACUGGACGAGCUACUUCAAGACAGCCUAUUAUAGGGCAAACCCGUCUCUGUUGCAAAAGAGUGGGAAGAGCUUUGAGUAGAGGUGACACGCCUACCGAGCCCAGUGAUAGCUGGUUGCCUGAGAAUUGAAUAGAAGUUCAGCCUUUUGAGUUUUUCCACCCAAAAAGGAGUACCUCCAACAGACAAGAAGAAUGUCAAAAGAGCUAUUCGAAGGGGGGACAGCUCCCUCGAACCAAGACACAACUUUUUUAGAAGGUUAAAGACCAUAUUGAAUAAGGCACCGUGCCCAGGUGGGCCUAGAAGCAGCCACCCAAGAAGAAAGCGUUAAAGCUCAAGCACGAAACCUCCUCUAAUUUCAGUAGCACUCUCUUACACCCCUAAACCUAUCAGGCCUCUCCAUGCAACCAUGGAAAAGACACUGCUAACAUGAGUAAUAAGAAAGCACCGCCUUUCUCCUUGCCCCAGUGUAACCAGAACAGACUCUUGCUGGAAAUUAACGCCCCCAACCCAGAGGGACCUGAGCCACACUUUUGAAACAAGAAAACCCCUCAGCCCCCAGCGUAAGCCCCACACUGGCGGGCCAAAGGAAAGACAAAAAGAAAAAGAAGGAACUCGGCAAACACUAGCCUCGCCUGUUUACCAAAAACAUCGCCUCUUGCAAACCCAGUAUAAGAGGUCCCGCCUGCCCGGUGACGAAAGUUUAACGGCCGCGGUAUUUUGACCGUGCGAAGGUAGCGUAAUCACUUGUCUUUUAAAUAGAGACCCGUAUGAAUGGCAUAACGAGGGCUAAGCUGUCUCCUUUUUCUGGUCAAUGAAAUUGAUCUCCCCGUGCAGAAGCGGGCAUACACCCAUAAGACGAGAAGACCCUAUGGAGCUGCAGACCCCCGGCAGACUAAGUUAAACACCCUUUAUGACAAGGACUAAACCAAGUAGCCCCUGCCCCGUGUCUUUGGUUGGGGCGACCACGGGGAAACAACAAACCCCCGCGCGGAACGGAAUUUUCCUUAAGACCAGAGCUGCAACUCUAACAAACAGAACUUCUGACCACUAAGAUCCGGCACUGCCGAUCAACGGACCGAGUUACCCUAGGGAUAACAGCGCAAUCCCCUUUUAGAGCCCAUAUCGACAAGGGGGUUUACGACCUCGAUGUUGGAUCAGGACUUCCUAAUGGUGCAGCCGCUGUUAAGGGUUC